AUUGAACGCUGGCGGCAGGCCUAACACAUGCAAGCCGAGCGGUAGCACAGAGAGCUUGCUCUCGGGUGACGAGCGGCGGACGGGUGAGUAAUGUCUGGGAAACUGCCUGAUGGAGGGGGAUAACUACUGGAAACGGUAGCUAAUACCGCAUAAUGUCGCAAGACCAAAGUGGGGGACCUUCGGGCCUCAUGCCAUCAGAUGUGCCCAGAUGGGAUUAGCUGGUAGGUGGGGUAACGGCUCACCUAGGCGACGAUCCCUAGCUGGUCUGAGAGGAUGACCAGCCACACUGGAACUGAGACACGGUCCAGACUCCUACGGGAGGCAGCAGUGGGGAAUAUUGCACAAUGGGCGCAAGCCUGAUGCAGCCAUGCCGCGUGUGUGAAGAAGGCCUUCGGGUUGUAAAGCACUUUCAGCGGGGAGGAAGGCGGUGAGGUUAAUAACCUCAUCGAUUGACGUUACCCGCAGAAGAAGCACCGGCUAACUCCGUGCCAGCAGCCGCGGUAAUACGGAGGGUGCAAGCGUUAAUCGGAAUUACUGGGCGUAAAGCGCACGCAGGCGGUCUGUCAAGUCGGAUGUGAAAUCCCCGGGCUCAACCUGGGAACUGCAUUCGAAACUGGCAGGCUAGAGUCUUGUAGAGGGGGGUAGAAUUCCAGGUGUAGCGGUGAAAUGCGUAGAGAUCUGGAGGAAUACCGGUGGCGAAGGCGGCCCCCUGGACAAAGACUGACGCUCAGGUGCGAAAGCGUGGGGAGCAAACAGGAUUAGAUACCCUGGUAGUCCACGCCGUAAACGAUGUCGAUUUGGAGGUUGUGCCCUUGAGGCGUGGCUUCCGGAGCUAACGCGUUAAAUCGACCGCCUGGGGAGUACGGCCGCAAGGUUAAAACUCAAAUGAAUUGACGGGGGCCCGCACAAGCGGUGGAGCAUGUGGUUUAAUUCGAUGCAACGCGAAGAACCUUACCUGGUCUUGACAUCCACAGAACUUUCCAGAGAUGGAUUGGUGCCUUCGGGAACUGUGAGACAGGUGCUGCAUGGCUGUCGUCAGCUCGUGUUGUGAAAUGUUGGGUUAAGUCCCGCAACGAGCGCAACCCUUAUCCUUUGUUGCCAGCGGUUAGGCCGGGAACUCAAAGGAGACUGCCAGUGAUAAACUGGAGGAAGGUGGGGAUGACGUCAAGUCAUCAUGGCCCUUACGACCAGGGCUACACACGUGCUACAAUGGCAUAUACAAAGAGAAGCGACCUCGCGAGAGCAAGCGGACCUCAUAAAGUAUGUCGUAGUCCGGAUUGGAGUCUGCAACUCGACUCCAUGAAGUCGGAAUCGCUAGUAAUCGUAGAUCAGAAUGCUACGGUGAAUACGUUCCCGGGCCU
rnacentral:rRNA from 1 species